rnacentral:lncRNA from 1 species
AUAAAUAUAUUCCUACAAAGUUUAAUUUUAUAUGCUGUCUCUGUAAAAGUUCUGAUAUUUUCAAAUAUGUUCCUACCGUUAGAAUUAGUUAGAGAAAUUUAGUUAAUCAUAGGUUAAAUACUUAACUCCAGUUAGUUAAUGAGGUGAAUUGAUCUUUUUACCCCUUUUAAUGAGGUGAAUUGAUCUUUUUACCCCUUUUUAAUUAACAGUUGGGACUUUUGGAAGAAUAUAUAUUUGUGAUGGCAAAAAUGUCAUUUUACUUAUAAAAUAGAUAGUGUUUUAAUGAUAACAAAUUAGAAGAACAUAUUUGAAAAUAUUAGAAUUUUUAUAGGAACAAUAUAUGAAAGUUAAACUUUGUAGGAAUAUAUUUAUAUUUCACCAUUUUUAUAAGGACCUGAAUGAAAUUAAUCCAAACUAAAAAAAUUCUAUAAACAUAGUCACCCAAGUAGGCUCUUUUUUUUC